UUCCUUACGCAGCGAUACCACACCAGAAGGGUCCUUACUCUUGUAUAUUAGUCAUUUGCACCGGGAACUCUUCACGUUGAAUCAAAGAUCAAUACUCGAAUGCGGAACGUGUUUUGAUAUAUCCUUUUCUUCAUUACUCUUUAAGUUUUAGUUCUGCUUCCAGAGUUGGAUUUAGCUACACCAGAGGCCUCGGAACUUUCAUCGGUAAUUGUGCUGUUACCGGUGCAUUUGGAGUUGCAGAUGCUGAUGUGCAGGGUGGAAUGACCGGUGACCUCUCCUUCAUGCAACCUGAAUUUAUUCAGAUCAGUAUGCACAGUUAGCACUGCAAUAUUUCCAUAGGCUGCGGUUUUCAAUGUUCCAUUUUGGCUGAAGUAGGCGGAUAUUUUUGCUUCUUUACCGUUUUCAUUCUCUCUAGCUUCUUAUUCGCCCCGGCAUUCUAUUUCACAGCCAAGUAUGGAGACAGGGCUGGAUGAUAAUGAUAACAUCUUUCCUGGGUAACCAAUGGUUAUCUCAGUAUUUGUGUCCUGCACUAAAAGGUUACAAGGGACCGGAGCAAAAUGCAUUGGGAAAUUAGCUUGUUCUGUUUCCUCUAGCUUGUAUUUUUGCCGGGGUUAAUUGUCGCUUAUUGUCUAUAAUUAGGAGGAAAAGACGACGAAUUUAUAUGAAGGAGAUUCAUGUUGUAAUGAAA